UACGAAGGGGGCAAGCGUUGUUCGGAAUUACUGGGCGUAAAGGGCGCGUAGGCGGAUGACAUAGUCAGGCGUGAAAUUCCCGGGCUCAACCUGGGGACUGCGCUUGAUACGUGUCGUCUCGAGUGAGGAAGAGGGUCGUGGAAUUCCCAGUGUAGAGGUGAAAUUCGUAGAUAUUGGGAAGAACACCGGUGGCGAAGGCGGCGACCUGGUCCUUUACUGACGCUGAGGCGCGAAAGCGUGGGGAGCAAACAGG
rnacentral:rRNA from 1 species